rnacentral:rRNA from 1 species
UACGUAGGUGGCGAGCGUUAUCCGGAUUUACUGGGUGUAAAGGGUGUGUAGGCGGGAUGGCAAGUCAGAUGUGAAAAUUACGGGCUCAACUCGUAACCUGCAUUUGAAACUGCUGUUCUUGAGUGUCGGAGAGGUAGAUGGAAUUCCCAGUGUAGCGGUGAAAUGCGUAGAUAUUGGGAGGAACACCAGUGGCGAAGGCGGUCUACUGGACGAUUACUGACGCUGAGACACGAAAGUGUGGGGAGCAAAC